UACAGAGACUGCAAGCGUUUAUUCGGAUUCACUGGGCGUAAAGGGUGCGCAGGCGGCCGAGUGUGUGAGGCGUGAAAGCCCGGGGCUCAACUCCGGAAUUGCCUUUAAAACUGCAUCGCUAGAAUUGUGGAGAGGUAAGUGGAAUUCCGAGUGUAGAGGUGAAAUUCGUAGAUAUUCGGAAGAACACCAGUGGCGAAGGCGACUUACUGGACACAUAUUGACGCUGAGGUGCGAAAGCGUGGGGAGCAGAACG
rnacentral:rRNA from 1 species